AUUGCACGCUGGCGGCAGGCCUAACACAUGCAAGUCGCACGAGUGGCGGACGGGUGAGUAAUGUCUGGGAAACUGCCCGAUGGAGGGGGAUAACUACUGGAAAAGGUAGCUAAUACCGCCUACCAUCGGAUGUGCCCAGAGGGGAUUAGCUAGUAGGUGGGGUAACGACUCACCUAGGCGACGAUCCCUAGCUGGUCUGAGAGGAUGACCAGCCAAACUGGAACUGAGACACGUUCAAGACUCCUACGGGAGGCAGCAGUGGGGAAUAUUGCACAAUGGGCGCAAGCCUGAUGCAGCCAUGCCGCGUGUAUGAAGAAGGCCUUCGGGUUGUAAAGUACUUUCAGCGAGGAGGCGUUACUCGCAGAAGAAGCACCGGCUAACUCCGUGCCAGCAGCCGCGGUAAUUC
rnacentral:rRNA from 1 species